rnacentral:sRNA from 1 species
GCCGGGCGCGGUGGCUCACGCCUGUAAUCCCAGCACUUUGGGAGGCUGAGGUGGGUGGAUCACUUGAGGUCAGGAGUUCGGGACCAGCCUGGCCAACAUGGUGAAACCCCGUCUCUA